UAAGCGUUUAUGUUGUUACGGCGGUAGGAUAAAUCAGAAAGCGAUUUGUGACGACAGUGUACGUUAGGGGUACUAUGUUCGUUCUUCCAAGUCAAGUUCGACAAGGAGGCAUGGAAUUUCAUUUGACGUACUACCAUGUAUGAGUGAUGCCGAGUGAGGUCUCCAGAGGGUGAUUGGUGGAUGUACCCUUGUUUUCUCUUGGCCUAUAGUAGGGGGUUUGUUUUCCCUGUUUUUGCAUGAUCCACCGGCUGUCAAUAAAUGGCUGACCCACCCCUACUUCUUGUCUAUGGUUCUAUGGUUUUCCUGACUGAGUACCCAACCCCCAACCCAUACUACCACCCAAGCCCAGUUUACUA